GACGGCCGAUUACUUGAAAAUUUUUGCUGAGUUUUUCAAAUUAAAUUCAAUUUUAUUUGUGUUUCCUGUUGAAAAAACCAAUUUUCUGGGCAUAUUUUGAGGGGUUUUGAAGAUUUGAAGAAAUCAUGAAAAUGUCUGAGUCUCGGAGACAAUCUCAGAAAUCGAAGAUUAGGGAAGAAUCAGCCCGACCCAUGAGGAAAAUCCGGAUCGUUUGUGACGACCCGGAAGCUACUGAUUCAUCUGAUGAUGAAGGGGUUGAUGUAUCGAAACCCAAACGAUUUGUUAGGGAGAUUUAUCUUCCUGUUGUUAGCUCUUUUACCCUGAAAAAAGUACCUGAAACUGAAAG
rnacentral:misc_RNA from 1 species